ACCUCCAUCGAGUUGUCUGCUUCCAACAGCGUGCAAACUCAUCAGGUGCCGCAUAUGUCCCAAGUUCGUGGUUUGGCGUAGAGAACAGCAGAAGUUGUCGUCACUGCUGGGACCUUCCCAGGAUUCCCAGUGCCAAGUGAUUUCAGUUAGGAGUCAUCCUGCAUGAUUCCUGUGAUUUGUCCUGGAGGGAGUGAACAGAGACGAGUCAACUCCACACUUUGCUAGCAGUUACCUGGAGGUCCUAGCAAACAAGGUGCAUGUGGAAAAAGAGAGAGAGGAGGAGAGGAUCCUGGGAAAAGAGCUACUAUCUUGGGAAAAGACCAAGAGUUUCUCGACAUCUGCCUGAGGGAAGAACAAAGAUAAUACUUCAAACCACUGCCACCCCUACAUCUCCCCCACCAGCUCCUCCAUUCUACAGGACAAAUUUGGGAUCAUUGAAGCAUUCUCCUUUGUCAUGGUCAUAUGCUUUCUUUGUCUGCUUAACUGACAUGUAUGUAAACUAUUGGUUUUUAACAAACUCAAUAAUCUAUCAGUAAAAUUGCUGCAAUUUGCAUGCCUAUAAUAGAUAACUGAAAUCAUGAAUCCCCCAGGAUCAUGUCCUGAUCUUUAUGUACUGCUGUUAUACAAGUAAGUUUAGCAGUCAUUCUAAGCUGGCAACAAUCAUACAAAAAAGAAAUAACACCAACAAUUAAUCGAUCUGUAAGUAUUGGUUCAGAGAUGAAAGUUGGCUAACACGCUGAGAGAAAUCAGUAUUCUUUUUAGGGGAGGGAGACAUGAAAUUGUUAACAUUCCCUGUUACCUGUUUAACAUUUCAUAUCAAAAACUUAAUCUCAAACUAGUUUUAUAGGAUUUAUUCAUGCCGAAUUCUUCAUAAAGCUUUGAAAAUCCUAUGCAAGUCUCUAGAAAACAUAAUACUUUCUAGAAUGAAACCAAAGUAUGUGGUUUUCUUUCAUUAAAAUAUAUAAGGAGAUGCUGCUCUUAUUAAUACUCAAUAACUGCCUGAAAAUGUUCUUUAAUAAACAUCUACCGGGUAGAUAUGUAGGGUUCAUGAUGUGAGACUCCUGUUUAUUUAGCAGGGUGAGAGUUAAUUGCAAUGGAUAAACCUGAUAUGCAGAAAUAAAUACAACAGCAAAAUGUUUGCAGUGUAAUUACAUCAAACAGAAGUACUGACCAAUGUAUAAAAACAGAAAGUCUGACUUUUGAUGUGAUCAAAAAUACUAUGAAAUUUGAGUUCCUAUCCUAGUCACUUGUAAUUUUUAAAGUUUUACUUGUGAAAGAAACCCUAUAUAUAAUAAUUAAAGAGAUUGGAGACAACAUGAAAUAUAGGAAAGUUUAAAGCAGUUUUUGAAUAACAACUUCUAAAUUUAAAAACUCCAGUUCUUUUUUUCUCUACCCAAUUUUUCUUAUCCUACUGAAGACUGAUUUAAGCUUUUGUAUAGGUUUGCAGAUUCCAUCAACUAUCCAAGAAAGCUGGUACUCCAUGUGAUAGUAAAGAUAGAAUGUCCUAAAUUAAUCUAGUUCCAUUUGCAAAUACUAGGCCCAUAUCCCUCUAAACCCUUCCUAUUCAUGUACCC